rnacentral:rRNA from 1 species
GAUGAACGCUGGCGGCGUGCCUAAUACAUGCAAGUCGAGCGAACGGACGAGAAGCUUGCUUCUCUGAUGUUAGCGGCGGACGGGUGAGUAACACGUGGAUAACCUACCUAUAAGACUGGGAUAACUUCGGGAAACCGGAGCUAAUACCGGAUAAUAUUUUGAACCGCAUGGUUCAAAAGUGAAAGACGGUCUUGCUGUCACUUAUAGAUGGAUCCGCGCUGCAUUAGCUAGUUGGUAAGGUAACGGCUUACCAAGGCAACGAUGCAUAGCCGACCUGAGAGGGUGGUCGGCCACACUGGAACUGAGACACGGUCCAGACUCCUACGGGAGGCAGCAGUAGGGAAUCUUCCGCAAUGGGCGAAGGCCUGACGGAGCAACGCCGCGUGAGUGAUGAAGGUCUUCGGAUCGUAAAACUCUGUUAUUAGGGAAGAACAUAUGUGUAAGUAACUGUGCACAUCUUGACGGUACCUAAUCAGAAAGCCACGGCUAACUACGUG